GCUCUGCCAUCACCUGAGUACCUGAGGGGACCACAUCGAGGUGACUGUGCAGAUCUGCCAGAACGAACCCUGCGGAACUCCCGGGAAACCAGCGGUGCCAUGAGGGACCCACCUCUCUGCCGACCCCUUCUCCCCUGCACCCCUUCUUCCGUCUGUGGGCGCCGCGGGCAUUGGGCAGCGUGCGAGUAACGUCUUUAGUGCAUUAAGCCAAUUACAGGAGCAGUUCAGUGGCGUCCACCUCUUACCUUUCUGCAAAUAAAUAAUCUGUAGUUUCCUAAGUAUUUAUAUUGUUAUGAGAAGUAUAUAUUACCGCUAUGAGUUAUAGGCAAGAGCUGCAAGUUGUUAACGUGGCCGCCGAGGGUUUGUACUUAGCCGACGACGACGCUGGACUCGCUCCCGCCCCACCCACCACCCACACCCACCCGAUGCCCGGCGCCGCCACGCGGGGCGCCGAGACAAAGCAACAAAUGGCAGUUUUUCUUUGUUUGUUUUUGAAUUCUAGUCAGUUCAACAAAUAUUACUAUGUACAGUAAUACUACGUGAACCAUCUCUGCUGGAUGUUUCACUUUUUUUUUUAAUAAUUUGAAGCUUUUUAUUUAAUAUCCAGUUUUAUGUUUACCCGUUCAAAGUUUAUGGAAAAUUUUUGAAUCGGUGGAAGGAUUUUUUUUUUUUUUUUUUUUUUUUCGUGUGUUCAGACUUUGGCUAAUAAAAUGUUGCUCAAGCAGUGUACCGCAUGGCCGAGUGUACCUUCGGGGACACUGUACCUCUGAGGAGCACUGUGCGCGCCGGAGGAACCUGUGUAAUUCUAGCACCUCUACCCCGGGAAACCGUUUAUCCUUGGGGAACAUUACCCCAGGGAAACAUUUGUACAUUGGGGAACGUUGAUGUACCUUUUAAGAGCAUUUGGUACCCCAGGAUGCACUCUGUAUACCAUAGGGGAGCACUUACCCCUGUGGUAGCACCGUGCACCCUGGGGGAGGGUGUGUGUGUGUACCUCGCGCCGCACAGUGCACCGUCAGAACAAGCUGCAAGAAGGUUCAUCCCGUCAGAGGUUUUUCACAAAUGAUCUCAAGCUUCAGCGAAUCCCAACCCAUCUGAACAGUGUCUUAUUUGUGCAUUACCAUUACUUUUUGUUUUGUUCUCUUGGCUCUGCCCUCUUUCUUUCCUUCUACUCGAUAUCUAUUAUUAUAUUAUUGAUCAUAUUUUGUACAGAGUGUUAUAAUGAGAUAUUCCUUGUACAGUUAAACUUUAUGGCAUUUCUCCGAUAUUGGAAGUUUUAUAUAUUUUGUAGUGUAGUGCUCGCCUCCCCAAGUCAGGGGUUGGCUGGCUGGUGGGAGAAACAAAUACAUUUUUGUAUGUUUCAAGUGAA